GGUAAAUCAACAGCAGACCUGGCAACCCGCUCCGGGCUAAAGGACAGUACCACUCUCCUCUCUCUUUCCAGAUCUUUCCGUGUCUCAUCCUCCGUGUGUCCACGUAGCGGUCUUCAUCCCCGCUGGAUCCAUAAUGCACCAGGCUGACCACAGGAUGGCGCCCAAGAGAGUGUUAAGAUUCCCCUGAAGGUCUCAGGUCCAGAUGAUUGGCCAUCACUGACACUCACAGAUACUGUGGGAGGAGAUGAGGCCAUAUUAGACCAAAGACAAACAACAGUGAGCUGAUGGAAUUCAGUAUAGAUCAUCUUUAAAUGCAUGUGGUGAACUGUUAGCAUCACCCCCCACUCACCCACCCUUCACUGAAAAUGACAUGGUUUUAUUGAAUAAAGGAAAAAUGACAUGUAAAUGUUGUUGUCGAAGAAUGUGUUUCAUUUUUAUUUCUUCUGUAAAUGAGUUGAAUAAGUCCAGUUUCCUCAUUUGUGAAUCCUUACAUGUCUUUGCAGUGGAAGUAUAUAUUAAUGUCAUGUUCACAUCUUAGCAGGAAGAAUAACUUCAAACUGGAAGUCAAACUGAAGUAGAUAUUGAUAAAGUGAACCUAAAUCUUGGCUGAUUUAAAGGGGAACUAUGGCAGAUUUAUACCUUAUUGUUAGUUUUCCAAACCUUGAAAAAUCUGAAAUUUUGUGUAAGAGUUUUAAUAAAAUAUGG